ensembl:snoRNA small nucleolar RNA SNORA3/SNORA45 family
AGCGAGGCUAGAGUCACGCCUAGACACUGUCCCGUUGUCCUGGUGUGCUAGAGUGCUCACAGAUUGAACGUCUUUGUUUAUUCAUUGGCUGCAGUCUAUAACAGUGACCCAGCCAAUCACCAACUCAGACACACUU